rnacentral:misc_RNA from 1 species
AGUCAUAGAAGUACAUAUUUCACAUAAUUGUUAGAAAAAGUAGUAACAUUCCAAAUGCAAUUGAUGCACUGAAUAGUUUCUCAUAAUAACAUAUUAUUUAGUUCUAGCAUAUGCUUUAAGUUUACUUCAUAUCUAGACGAAAUUAAGCGUCACACAAGUCAUAGAAGUACAUAUUUCACCCCUAAUAGCCUUAGGGGAAAAAAAAAAGAAAAAGAAAAACGCAGGCCAUACGAUGGAAACAUAUAUACAAGCAGGGCAAGCCAUGCAAGGUGGCCGUACACCCUUGAAAGAGAAACUUCUACUUUUUUUUGAAGAUCAAAUAGACCCUUCUUAUGCAUACAUAAUCAAAUUCUAAACAUACUGGAAAAGAGAAACUUCUACUUAACAGUGUAGCCAACUUCAUAAGCGUAUUUGACAAGAUUAUCCAACUCCUCGUCAAAUUCAAUUUGUCCAUUUCCAUUGGCAUCUGCACGGUUGAUCCCACGCCAGGCUCUAAAUGCAGGGAACCUUGCACCUAGGUAUUUGAAAGCUUUCUUUAGCUCUUCUUUGCUCAGAACAUUGUUGCGAUCGGAGUCGAAUUGCAUGAAUAUUUCCCUUAGAUGUUGUUCACUCAAGGGCAUAGAAGCUUUUUUAGAAUGUGUAGUAUGAAAAUGAAGCAUGGUGUCAAAAAGGGCCGGAGGACUACAGGCGUAGAGCCUUUUCUAGGGGUGAGAUAUUUAGGAGCUGUGCUUGAUUUCUUGGAAGCAAGGGUUUAUAUAGCCAUCUUCCAUAUUAUUAUAAAUUAUCUCCAGGAGAUCAACUAUCUUGUUUGCCAUUGAUCGAACACGAAUA